GACGAACGCGGCGGCGUGCUUAACACAUGCAAGUCGAACGGAGCGAAUGAAAGCUUGCUUUUAUGCGCUUAGUGGCAAACGGGUGAGUAACACGUAGGCAACCUGCCGACAGGAUGGGGACAACAUUCCGAAAGGAAUGCUAAUACCGAAUGAAGUGCAGGAGAGGCAUCUCUCCUGCGUGAAAGAUGGCCUCUAUAUAUAAGCUAUCACCUGUCGAUGGGCCUGCGUCUGAUUAGCUGGUUGGUGAGGUAACAGCUCACCAAGGCGACGAUCAGUAGCCGGUCUGAGAGGAUGAACGGCCACAUUGGGACUGAGACACGGCCCAGACUCCUACGGGAGGCAGCAGUGGGGAAUCUUCCGCAAUGGGCGCAAGCCUGACGGAGCAACGCCGCGUGAGUGAAGAAGGUCUUCGGAUCGUAAAGCUCUGUUGAUGGGGACGAAACGUAACGGGGUGCGAAAUAGUACCCUGUAAAUG
rnacentral:rRNA from 1 species